rnacentral:rRNA from 1 species
CCUAUCAGGUAGUUGGUGAGGUAAAGGCUCACCAAGCCGACGACGGGUAGCCGGCCUGAGAGGGUGACCGGCCACACUGGGACUGAGACACGGCCCAGACUCCUACGGGAGGCAGCAGUGGGGAAUAUUGCACAAUGGGCGAAAGCCUGAUGCAGCAACGCCGCGUGAGGGACGAAGGCCUUCGGGUUGUAAACCUCUUUUAGUAGGGAAGAAGCGAAAGUGACGGUACCUGCAGAAAAAGCACCGGCUAACUACGUGCCAGCAGCCGCGGUAAUACGUAGGGUGCAAGCGUUGUCCGGAAUUAUUGGGCGUAAAGAGCUCGUAGGCGGUUUGUCGCGUCUGCUGUGAAAACUGGAGGCUCAACCUCCAGCCUGCAGUGGGUACGGGCAGACUAGAGUGCGGUAGGGGAGAUUGGAAUUCCUGGUGUAGCGGUGGAAUGCGCAGAUAUCAGGAGGAACACCGAUGGCGAAGGCAGAUCUCUGGGCCGCUACUGACGCUGAGGAGCGAAAGCAUGGGGAGCGAACAGGAUUAGAUACCCUGGUAGUCCAUGCCGUAAACGUUGGGAACUAGAUGUGGGGACCAUUCCACGGUCUCCGUGUCGCAGCUAACGCAUUAAGUUCCCCGC